CGCGAGGCCGCCGCAGCGCGUAGAAUACAGGCUUCACGACACGCGGAAGCCGGUGCAAGUCCGGCGCGGUCGCGCCACUGUAACUGGUUGCCCUCGAAAGUAUCAACGCGCAUCAAUGCGCAUCGAAGCCGCAACGGGAGUCAGACCUGCGCGUCGUGUACCCGUCUUU
rnacentral:misc_RNA from 1 species